CGAUCUGGCUCAGGAUGAACGCUAGCUACAGGCUUAACACAUGCAAGUCGAGGGGCAGCAUUGGAGUAGCAAUACUCAGAUGGCGACCGGCGCACGGGUGAGUAACACGUAUCCAACCUGCCGCUUACUCGGGGAUAGCCUUUCGAAAGAAAGAUUAAUACCCGAUGGUAUAAAGAGUUCGCAUGUUCUCUUUAUUAAAGAAUUUCGGUAAGCGAUGGGGAUGCGUUCCAUUAGAUAGUUGGCGGGGUAACGGCCCACCAAGUCUACGAUGGAUAGGGGUUCUGAGAGGAAGGUCCCCCACAUUGGAACUGAGACACGGUCCAAACUCCUACGGGAGGCAGCAGUGAGGAAUAUUGGUCAAUGGACGAGAGUCUGAACCAGCCAAAGUAGCGUGAAGGAUGACUGCCCUAUGGGUUGUAAACUUCUUUUAUAAGGGAAUAAAGUGAGGGACGUGUCCCUUUUUGUAUGUACCUUAUGAAUAAGGAUCGGCUAACUCCGUGCCAGCCGCGGC
rnacentral:rRNA from 1 species